rnacentral:rRNA from 1 species
GGGGGAAUUUUGGACAAUGGGCGCAGCCUGAUCCAGCCAUGCCGCGUGCAGGAUGAAGGCCUUCGGGUUGUAAGCUGCUUUUGUACGGAACGAAAAGGUGCCUUCUAAUAAAGGGCGCUCAUGACGGUACCGUAAGAAUAAGCACCGGCUAACUACGUGCCAGCAGCCGCGGUAAU